GUAUACCGUGCUCAGGCAUGUAGCCGACUGUCAAGUACCAGCUGUUGCGCCGUACUGAUUUUCCGUGGCUUCACGCCGACUCGGCUUUGCGGCAAUUUAAUCGAAUAAGUGUGUCACGCGGUUCAUAACUCCGAUCGACAUGAGCCGCAAUUUUAUCGGAGAGUUGCUGAUCUUUCUGUUAUUCUUCAUUGGCAGUUUAAAUACGAAAGUAUUAUCAAAUACACUGUCUCUCGGUGAUGGAAGUGUAUUUGAAAUGAAAUUAACUAAUCUUCAUGACACUACACCAUAUAUGAAACAAAUAUCUAUUGCAGCAAGUAGCAAAGCAAUCUUUAAUGUAACAAACGUUUCCUCCAGCGGUUCAUUUAUUAUUUUUCAAAUUCAUAUUUAUCAACAUAAUGUUACAUUAUCUUUUGACAAAGAUUGUCUUAAUAAAGUUUCAAAUAGAAGCAUAUUUGGAUCAAACAUUGGUCUUUUCUCUAAGCUAAACACUAAUAUAAUGACACAAUUUUUCGUGAAAAAUGAUAAUGUUCACGAUGUUAAGGCUCUGCUCGUUGUUAUUACUUACAAUAAUAAAGCACCCGUACCGGGUGGAUGCAACAUGGAGUUCAAUACCGAGAUCGCGCCGUACGCGAGAAUGCAGACACGCGACGCGAUGGUGAUCGUCGACGUGCAACCAGCCUCGUUACCGUUCAACUCGAUGCGCCGCACUUGCGAAAAGGAGCCGGUGGAGGUCAAGAUGUAUCAGAUGUUCCUGCCCGAGCAGGACCUCAGUGCCGAAACUUAUUUCACGGGUAUCGUAAAAAUGCUGACUGCGGAAGAUAUCAAGAAGAACGGAGUGAAGGCAAUGGCUUCCAUUGUUUCAUCUCCGAUGAGACGAAUAUUUAGCGCGUAUAUCGGAGUUGGCUCGGUUUACGUCGCAGUGGCUAGUUAUGGGGAUUAUUCUGCGGCCUAUAUCCCGAUAUUUUCAUACGGCUGUAAUCCCACAAUCGAUCCUGUAUCAUGUGACAUUUUAUCCGGGGGUGUUUUGAAGUUUAUUUCUGCCAUUUGUUUCUUCGUGGGAUUAUUUUUUACAUUCAUGGGUCAUCAUGUCUCUAGAGUUGAAAAAAUGUUUCCUAUAUUUUUCAUUGGAAGCGUAAUUGGAUAUGCCAUAGAAGGAAACGUUAUAACUGGCCUGGCGAUAGGUUUGCUCUUCAACCUGUUGUCGUUAGUAUGUCCGUACUCCACAGAGAAUCGUAGCGGUGCAUUGCUGGUCAAUAUGACUCUGGGCUUGUUCUUUGCGUGCGUUGCUUACUUACACUCCCCAGGUACGGAAGGGGCUUGGCAUCUCUUGAAGGGCACGCACGAAAUACCGAUAGUAAACGUAUCCGAAAAGCGAUUCAAUGCAUGUCGCUUGAGGAAAGAUCAGCAGGGGUUGUAGUAAAUUAUAGGAAAAUAAUGGAAGCCGGCUUAAAAACGGACGAGAGGAGUGUAACGGGAAAAGAAAGGGAGAGAGAGAGAGAGAGAGCGAGAGCUCACCGCCCCCGAAGUUAGUUCGAGUUUGGUGAAGGGAUGAAGUACAGUCAGAGAGUCCCCCUGUAGCUUUUAUCAAUGUUGCCCGCUCAUGUGGAAACUUCGUCUGCCGAAUCCCCCACAGCCGCACAACAUUCGCGUUACCUCCUACCUUUCUCACCAUAACCACCCUCCACCAUCUCGGCACAUACACGCAUAAACACGCGCACAAUAAAAAUCAUGGCUCGUACACACAGGGUAAAGCAGGGCCCCUGCGCCAACUCUCACGAAGCGAGAUCUAACCAGCUUGAAAGAUUCGCAUUUACCUAAUUGUGUCCCCCGUAUUUAUUUAGCUCCGAGACCUAUUUAGAUUACACGGUCUAUGCAUGCGUAACUGCACAGAGUAUCGGUCCCCG
rnacentral:misc_RNA from 1 species